GACGAACGCUGGCGGCGUGCCUAAUACAUGCAAGUAGAACGCAGUUGCGAACGGGUGAGUAACGCGUAGGUAACUGCCUGGUAGCGGGGGAUAACUAUUGGAAACGAUAGCUAAUACCGCAUACUACCAGAUGGACCUGCGUUGUAUUAGCUAGUGGGUGGGGACAAGGCUCACAAAGGCAACGAUACAUAGCCUACCUGAGAGGGUGGACGGCCACACUGGGACUGGGAAACGGCCCAGGAUCCUGCGGGAGGCAACAGUAGGGAAUCUUCGGCAAUGGACGGAAGCCUGACCGAGCAACGCCGGGUGAGUGAAGAAGGUUUUCGGAUCUUAAAGCUCUUUUGUAAGAGAAGCGGUAUCUUACCAGAAAGGGACGGCUAACUACGUGCCAGCAGCCGCGGUAAUAC
rnacentral:rRNA from 1 species